rnacentral:lncRNA from 1 species
GUGGUAAUUGACUUGAGCUUUGUGGUUUGCUCCCUUUCAAGGUCUCAAGUUCGAAACCCACUAGGUGCAAAUAAUUUUUAAGGGCCAUCGGACUGGGUAAAACCUGAAUUAACCGUGGUGCACUUGCGGGAAACUCCUUGCCAAGGGCCUGUGCACCCCCGGGAUUAGUCGAGGCUCGAAGAGACUCGGACACCCGGUGCAAAAAUUAAAAAAAAUGAUUACUUCGUCCCGUAGUAAUUUCUUGUACCAAUAUGCAGUUGAUUUCACCCUUGAAGAAUUGAAGCUUCUGCGAGUAAAGCAAAGAUAUCCUUUCAGAGAUCAGCAAUAUAAUGGUUAGUUUUCUAAGGUUCCUGUAAAAUAUGAUGUGACCUUUUCUCUAAAUGUUGUGCUGGUAACAAUGUAAUGUAGAAAAUUCCUGUAAAAUAUGAUGUCACGUUUUCUCUAAAUGUUGUGCUGGUAACAAUGUAAUGUAGAAAAAUAUUUUCAUAGUCUGACCAUGGGUUUGCACUUCUUUACUGAAGAUAUGUGAUUAGUGCAUAGAAAACAAGAUA